GAAAUGCUAUAAUUAAUGUGAAUUGCAGAAUUCAGUGAAUCAUCGAAUCUUUGAACGCACCUUGCGCUCCUUGGUAUUCCUUGGAGCAUGCCUGUUUGAGUAUCAUGAAAUCUUCAAAGUAAAUCUUUUGUUAACUCAAUUGGUUUCUACUUUGGUAUUGGAGGUCUUUGCAGCUUCACACCUGCUCCUCUUUGUUCAUUAGCUGGAUCUCAGUGUUAUGCUUGGUUCCACUCGGCGUGAUAAGUUAUCUAUCGCUGAGGACACUGUAAAAGGUGGCCAAGGUAAAUGCAGAUGAACCGCUUCUAAUAGUCCAUUGACUUGGACAAUACUUUUAUGAUCUGAUCUCAAAUCAGGUAGGACUACCCGCUGAACUUAAGC
rnacentral:misc_RNA from 1 species